UUAGAUUCCUUGAUUUUUUUGAAUCUUUAUGCAUUGAAAGAAAAAUAAAAAUCAUAGUCAUUCCAAACAAAGUCCAGUGUCCCAGAGGUGUUGAGAUAAAAAUGUUUUCCUUUCUUACAGUUCUUGAACCGAAGACAACGAGGUAGUUAUACACAACACAACGAAAGAGCUUUCGUUUCGAUUUAAUUUAGGACAACCGGGACAGUCAUUUACAAGGAAUUAUUAUUCAGGAUUACACAUGGCUUAUCCAUCCUC
rnacentral:lncRNA from 1 species